CUAAAAUAAAUGGCUGUGGCUGUGAACAGAGGCAGAUGGACUCUCGUCACUUGGUUUCUUCCACUUUGCAAGGAUGUUCCACCCCUUGGAGAACAUGGACGUUGGAACCGGCUGGGUGAGAAAUACAUGAAAAAAUCAGUUUAGAGCAGGAAGCUGUUCCUGGCAAACUCACUAGUGGAUGUCUUCCCGGAUGCUGUGAUUAUAUAAAACUAGGGGGCUACUAGACAGCAAUUAAUGACUGCCAUGAGGAGUGAGUUUACGGGUGAACAAAGGAGCAAGGCAACCUUUCUGUGCUAGGGAAGCUAAUGUUUAUUUAUUAGUGCUAUGCCACAAUGCUUUGAUGAAGAUAUUUCUGUAGGCAAAUUAGGGAUUCUUCGUUAGACUCGGCUGUUCUGUCACCAUAAAACAAUAAAC